CCUACGGGAGGCAGCAGUGGGGAAUUUUGGACAAUGGGCGCAAGCCUGAUCCAGCAAUGCCGCGUGAGUGAAGAAGGCCUUCGGGUUGUAAAGCUCUUUUGUCAGGGAAGAAACGGUGGGGGCUAAUAUCCCUCGCUAAUGACGGUACCUGAAGAAUAAGCACCGGCUAACUACGUGCCAGCAGCCGCGGUAAUACGUAGGGUGCAAGCGUUAAUCGGAAUUACUGGGCGUAAAGCGUGCGCAGGCGGUUUUGUAAGUCUGUCGUGAAAGCCCCGGGCUCAACCUGGGAAUUGCGAUGGAGACUGCAAGGCUUGAAUCUGGCAGAGGGGGGUAGAAUUCCACGUGUAGCAGUGAAAUGCGUAGAGAUGUGGAGGAACACCGAUGGCGAAGGCAGCCCCCUGGGUCAAGAUUGACGCUCAUGCACGAAAGCGUGGGGAGCAAACAGGAUUAGAUACCCUGGUAGUCCACGCCCUAAACGAUGUCUACUAGUUGUCGGGUUUUAAUUAACUUGGUAACGCAGCUAACGCGUGAAGUAGACCGCCUGGGGAUACGGUCGCAAGAUUAAAACNCAAAGGAUUGACGGCUGAGAGNGCGAGACGACGACGAGGGAGAGG
rnacentral:rRNA from 1 species